UUUAUUUGUAAUAAAAUUUUCAGCUUUUUAAUUCUAUAAUUAUAAAAAUAUGACCAAAUUAUUAAACACAAUCUUUUUUACUCAUUUUGGACUGGUUGGAAGUUGUUUGUAAAAUGUCCAGUGACAAAUAUCUCGUAUAUUGUCGUGCAAUUUCUUUAAGCGAUGUUGCUGGUUAGCACGUUUAUUUAAUUAAUUCCCCGGUCAAUAUACCAGUCUUUAAAACCCUGGGACUGUUAGACAACAGGACAGUUAUCAAAUAGAGUUAAAUGGCAUUUGGUAUACAUUCAACAUUGAGCACUACAAGAC
rnacentral:lncRNA from 1 species